CCGCCUCUGCCCCGUCUCCUCUUCCUCCUCUUAGUCCCCCCCCCCUUUCAUUACUAUCACUUCUUCCUCCUCGUGGUACUCUUUCCCCUCCUCCACCUGUGUGUUGCCUCCAGGAGAGCGCCGAGCGGGAAGGGAGAGCUGUUGACUCUCGCUGCGGGAACAGGUGAGUGUUGGCGAGAGACCAUGUUGUUCGCUGUUAUUUCCGAGAUGUUCACGCAAGGAUCCCCACAUGUUCAAGGUAGGUGCUGUGUUUUUUUUUUCUGAACACGUUACGUAAGUUCAGCAACGCUAUGAGCCGGAGUUCUUUUUCUAAACAGGUAAUCAUGUUGUAUAUAUGUACACCUUUCGAGGCCACACAAACCCGGAUGGGAUUAUAGCAGCGUUGAUCCAAGGAAGAAGAACAGGACAGGAAGAAGGAAAGAGAGAAAAAUAUAAGAUUUAUAUCUUAAGCACCCGUAAUUUGCAUAAUAAAGGAGGAAUGGAACCUCCGGAAAACGUAGUAAAAAAAGAAAAA